rnacentral:rRNA from 1 species
AUUCAGGCUACCUUAAAACCAUUGUGAACGUUACCUAUAACCGUUGCUUCGGCGGGCGGCCCCGGGGUUUACCCCCCGGGCGCCCCUGGGCCCCACCGCGGGCGCCCGCCGGAGGUCACCAAACUCUUGAUAAUUUAUGGCCUCUCUGAGUCUUCUGUACUGAAUAAGUCAAAACUUUCAACAACGGAUCUCUUGGUUCUGGCAUCGAUGAAGAACGCAGCGAAAUGCGAUAAGUAAUGUGAAUUGCAGAAUUCAGUGAAUCAUCGAAUCUUUGAACGCACAUUGCGCCCGCCAGCAUUCUGGCGGGCAUGCCUGUUCGAGCGUCAUUUCAACCAUCAAGCCCCCGGGCUUGUGUUGGGGACCUGCGGCUGCCGCAGGCCCUGAAAAGCAGUGGCGGGCUCGCUGUCGCACCGAGCGUAGUAGCAUACAUCUCGCUCUGGUCGCGCCGCGGGUUCCGGCCGUUAAACCACCUUUUAACCCAAGGUUGACCUCGGAUCAGGUAGGAAGACCCGCUGAACUUAAGCAUAUCAAUAAGCGGAGGAAGAUUUUUAAAAUUCGAU